rnacentral:rRNA from 1 species
UACGGGGGGAGCAAGCGUUGUUCGGAUUUACUGGGCGUAAAGGGCGCGUAGGCGGUCAGCACAAGUCAGUUGUGAAAUCUCCGGGCUUAACCCGGAAAGGUCAACUGAUACUGUGCGACUAGAGUGCGGAAGGGGCAACUGGAAUUUACGGUGUAGCGGUGAAAUGCGUAGAUAUCGUAAGGAAGACCAGUGGCGAAGGCGGGUCUCUGGACAGUUCCUGACGCUGAGGCACGAAGGUCAGGGGAGCAAACGGG